rnacentral:rRNA from 1 species
AACAGGAUUAGAUACCCUGGUAGUCCACGCCGUAAACGAUGUCGACUUGGAGGUUGUGCCCUUGAGGCGUGGCUUCCGGAGCUAACGCGUUAAGUCGACCGCCUGGGGAGUACGGCCGCAAGGUUAAAACUCAAAUGAAUUGACGGGGGCCCGCACAAGCGGUGGAGCAUGUGGUUUAAUUCGAUGCAACGCGAAGAACCUUACCUACUCUUGACAUCCAGAGAACUUAGCAGAGAUGCUUUGGUGCCUUCGGGAACUCUGAGACAGGUGCCGCAUGGCUGUCGUCAGCUCGUGUUGUGAAAUGUUGGGUUAAGUCCCGCAACGAGCGCAACCCUUACCCUUUGUUGCCAGCGGUUAGGCCGGGAACUCAAAGGAGACUGCCAGUGAUAAACUGGAGGAAGGUGGGGAUGACGUCAAGUCAUCAUGGCCCUUACGAGUAGGGCUACACACGUGCUACAAUGGCAUAUACAAAGAGAAGCGACCUCGCGAGAGCAAGCGGACCUCAUAAAGUAUGUCGUAGUCCGGAUUGGAGUCUGCAACUCGGCUCCAUGAAGUCGGAAUCGCUAGUAAUCGUGGAUCAGAAUGCCACGGUGAAUACGUUCCCGGGCCUUGUACACACCGCCCGUCACACCAUGGGAGUGGGUUGCAAAAGAAGUAGGUAGCUUAACCUUCGGGAGGGCGCCUACCACUUUGUGAUUCAUGACUGGGGUGAAGUCGUAACAAGGUAACC